UACGUAGGGGGCGAGCGUUGUCCGGAAUCAUUGGGCGUAAAGCGCGUGUAGGCGGCCCGGUAAGUCCGCUGUGAAAGUCCAGGGCUCAACCCUGGGAUGCCCGGUGGAUACUGUCGGGCUCGAGUCCGGAAGAGGCGAGUGGAAUUCCGUGGUGUAGCGGUGAAAUGCGCAGAUAUCAGGAGGAACACCAAUGGCGAAGGCAGCUCGCUGGG
rnacentral:rRNA from 1 species